rnacentral:misc_RNA from 1 species
GUUUUCCACGAGGUGGCCAAUCGUUUGUUGACUCUACCACUGCAUUGGUGUUAGAUACUACCUUCUCCAUAUUAUCAUCAUUCUCCCAGUCUCUGGGUGAAUGCCAUCGGAUGAAAUCUUCAAACACAGCAUCGGGAUUUGCCGCUUUAAAAGCAGACAUAUCUGAUGACAAUAUGUCUUUCUCAAGUUGGGCAGAAAAUCUAAAAGAUUCACCAAGGGCCUCAACGGCUUGAAGACGUUCUUCGUGCAUGUCUUCUGU